UACGAACGGUGCACACGUUGCUCGGAAUCCUUGGGCGUAAAGCGCACGUAGGCGGCCCCGUAAGGCGGAUGUGGAAUCCCUCGGCUCAACCGAGGACGUGCAUUCGAAACUGCCGGGCUUGAGUAUGGAAGAGGGUCGCAGAAUUCCCGGUGUAGAGGUGAAAUUCGUAGAUAUCGGGAGGAAUACCAGUGGCGAAGGCGGCGACCUGGGCCAAUACUGACGCUGAUGUGCGAAAGCGUGGGCAGCAAACAGG
rnacentral:rRNA from 1 species